GGCCAAUCAAAAAAGUAUGUGUGUUACUGUCACAUGCUGAACAAUAAACAUGAUAAAAGGUUAGGUAGGUAGGAUAUUUUUUUAUAUUUUUUUACAUAGAGUCUAUCAUAUAUAUCUAUAGGAGCAACAUAGUGACUUCCACAGUGCUUAAUCAAAAAUGGUCAGUUUUUUUUAGGUAGAUAGCUAUAGGGGUUCAGUAAACACACAUGUUUUGUUGUUUGGCCUAUAUAGGAAUUCAGUGGUUGAUUUAGUACAUACAUAAUGUGUAAUUGAUAGUCUUAAGUUUAUAAGUACAUUCAGUUUUAAAUCUAUACAUCAAACAAAAAAUGUUCUGAUCUUAACCUUUGAACAUCAUCCCAUUACAUAACUACAUAGAAUCACACACCAGUGUUUCCCAAAUUUUUGAAGUAGUAGAGUUUAAAAUCUUGAAAACAACUUUAACAAGGGACACAUACAUGUAGCUUUCUAGUUAAACAUUUACAUGUACAAGUUCAGUCAGCACCAAAAACUUUUCGAACUACUAGUCCGAAGACCAAUAUUCUGCCAUUCUUCUAAUGUGCCUAUACAAAGUUUUGCAAAUAUUUGCUAUUCCUAAUAAAAUUUUACUAGUCUGACUAGUGGCUAACGGUGCAGACUGAAAGUUAAUUAAAAGAAAUAAGCAUGGCAAAAAUCAUGAAUUACAUGAAUUACAUGUACAUUUAGGCAGCUGUUUCACAAGAUACUAUAGCUACAUGUAGUUUCUAAAACUUC
rnacentral:lncRNA from 1 species